UACAAUAACAUAAAACAUUUGUAUUAAAAUCUCUUUGGUGAAACACACCAAGUUUUUGACAGGUAACUGACAGCGCGAGUCGCGACAUCUUUGUACUUGUACUUGAGUGACGUCAUAAUAUGUUGAGAGCCAACUCGAUUUGAAGAGAACGGAACGAGGUUUUUUAUUUGAGUCUUUUGUCAUAAAAGACAUGUUUUCUUCUGUAGUGUAAUUGUGAAUACGUGUAAUCUUGUUGCUUGGAAGAAAUGUUUGAGCAAUUUUUGUUUUUAAAGUAGUUUAAUACUUUUUAAAUUUCAUGGGGUAAGAUAAGUCCUCGAGUGAAUCCAAGACCUCAUUGCAUUUGAAUGGAAAAUAAAGCUAAGUUCACACUAGAGAACGCUAUAAUAUAAUAUGAUCUCAAACGGAGUUGGCUUUGUGAAUUACAGCUGAGUGCAUAUUGUUCGAGGUAAGGCGAUGCAUUCAAUCGACUCAACUCGAGAAACGAAAUGUUUUUGCCUGCGCUUAAUUACAAGUACCAAAGAGAAACAAAUAUUAUUUACGUACGGUUACCGCAAACAGUACGUGCUUGCCAACCUUUCAAAGUAAUCAAAUAGAACUAACAACGGGAAGUAAAUUGAAAUGUGUGUACGCAGUUGCCGUAAAUAACUUGAGAGCCCAUUAAAAGAGCAAUGUACUGCGAAAUUCUCCGCGAUUUUGUUCACCUUUGGGAAUGGAAACUUUACAAGAAAGAGAGAAUUGUAAAUCUGUGAAAAACCUUGAAGAAAAACUGAGUAUUUAUAAAAGUUUAGUGUUCGACUGGGAAUUAAAGUUUUACUGAAAAAUAUUUAACUU